rnacentral:rRNA from 1 species
UACGUAGGGGGCAAGCGUUGUCCGGAUUUAUUGGGCGUAAAGAGCUCGUAGGCGGUUUGUCGCGUCUGCUGUGAAAGCCCGGGGCUUAACCCCGUGGUGUGCAGUGGGUACGGGCAGACUAGAGUGCAGUAGGGGAGACUGGAAUUCCUGGUGUAGCGGUGAAAUGCGCAGAUAUCAGGAGGAACACCGAUGGCGAAGGCAGGUCUCUGGGCUGUUACUGACGCUCAUGCACGAAAGCGUGGGGAGCAAACAGG